CCAAGGUUCAGGGACCUAUCUGUUCCUCUAGAACAGGCUAGAGGUUUCAUACUGUGUCUUAUCCAAGGUUCAGGGACCUAUCUGUUCCUCUAGAACAGGCUAGAGGUUUCAUACUGUGUCUUAUCCAAGGUUCAGGGACCUAUCUGUUCCUCUAGAACAGGCUAGAGGUUUCAUACUGUGUCUUAUCCAAGGUUCAGGGACCUAUCUGUUCCUCUAGAACAGGCUAGAGGUUUCAUACUGUGUCUUAUCCAAGGUUCAGGGACCUAUCUGUUGCUCUUCCCAUAUUCAGAUGGCC